GGGGGCGCUGGUUCCGAAGCCCGCCGGGCCGCGGAGCGCCUUCGCCAGGCCCCGGGGUGCAGCAGCCGCGCCGCGAAGCCCGCCCCCCCCGCGAGUGUGCUCGGUGACCUACGCGGGAAGAUCGCUGCCUUCUCUCUGCCUAGGACCGUGUCUGUGGCCGCUCACCCAGCCCGCCCUCUUCGGCCCGCUGGGACUGACAGGUCCCUGAGGUCUCCAAAACUACGAGAUCGAAGAGGAGGAAGAGUCUGCAUUCUCUACAUUUGCCUUUGGAGAAUGCAGGAAUCAGAGAUUUGGCCCCUGCGACUGAUUUUAAGUGUCCCUCCGAGUGUCCCGGGGUGCAGCUUUGUGGAGACUCCGGAGGAAGACUCUGGUCUUGGGAUUGGGGUCCCACAGCGUGGGUGAGAGAGGGGUUUGCUUUUUUGGUUUUGGUUUUCCUCUUCGGAGCUAGGCGAGGAAUCGCAUCUAGUGAGGGUCUGCCGCAGAAGCAAAUCUCAGCCAAUGUUGAGAGCAAAGAUUUCAAAAAGCUGAAAGUACUGAUGUUCAUUCAGCCCAAAGAAGCCAAGAAAAAUCUCAGAGAGACUCAACUAUAUCUAAAGAAGAAUAGGUCAUUUCGUAGUUUGCAAAAUGAAGUGCAGCUCCAACUUUGCCAGACAACAUUCUAUCAAGAAUUUGAAGUUGAAAGUAUGGUUCUAAGAUAAGGACAUGUACCAAAGGAAUGCUGCUUGAUUUUUGCUGGACACUUAAAGGUCAUGUCAAGUAAUACAAGCAGGAACAAAAAUACCAACUCUGAAAUUUUAAGUGACUUUGAAGAAGGUGACAUUAUAAAGUAAAUAUUGUCUGAGUUUCUCCGUC